ACGGGUGAGUAACACGUGGGCAAUCUGCCCUUCACUCUGGGACAAGCCCUGGAAACGGGGUCUAAUACCGGAUAUCACUUCCGCAGGCAUCUGUGGGGGUUGAAAGCUCCGGCGGUGAAGGAUGAGCCCGCGGCCUAUCAGCUUGUUGGUGAGGUAAUGGCUCACCAAGGCGACGACGGGUAGCCGGCCUGAGAGGGCGACCGGCCACACUGGGACUGAGACACGGCCCAGACUCCUACGGGAGGCAGCAGUGGGGAAUAUUGCACAAUGGGCGAAAGCCUGAUGCAGCGACGCCGCGUGAGGGAUGACGGCCUUCGGGUUGUAAACCUCUUUCAGCAGGGAAGAAGCGAAAGUGACGGUACCUGCAGAAGAAGCGCCGGCUAACUACGUGCCAACAGCCGCGGUAAUACGUAGGGCGCAAGCGUUGUCCGGAAUUAUUGGGCGUAAAGAGCUCGUAGGCGGUCUGUCGCGUCGGAUGUGAAAGCCCGGGGCUUAACCCCGGGUCUGCAUUCGAUACGGGCAGACUAGAGUGUGGUAGGGGAGAUCGGAAUUCCUGGUGUAGCGGUGAGAUGCGCAGA
rnacentral:rRNA from 1 species